AUCGUACGACGAGUUUGGAUCCUGGCUCAGAACGAACGCUGGCGGCAUGCCUAACACAUGCAAGUCGAACGAGACUUCGGUCUAGUGGCGGACGGGUGAGUAACGCGUAGGAACCUGCCAAGCAGUGGGGAAUAACAGCUGGAAACGGCUGCUAAUACCGCAUACGCCCUUCGGGGGAAAGAUUUAUCGCUGUUUGAGGGUCCUGCGUUCGAUUAGCUAGUUGGUGAGGUAACGGCCCACCAAGGCGACGAUCGAUAGCUGGUCUGAGAGGAUGAUCAGCCACACUGGGACUGAGACACCGGCCCAGACUCCUACGGGAGGCAGCAGGUGGGAAUAUUGGACAUGGGGAAACCCUGAUCCAGCAAUGCCGCGUGCGUGAAGAAGGCCUUAGGGUUGUAAAGCGCUUUCACCUGUGAUGAUGAUGACAGUAGCAGGAGAAGAAGCCCCGGCUAACUCCGUG
rnacentral:rRNA from 1 species